UUUACUUCUAUCGUUGCAAAGCAUAAUGUCAGCUAUAUCGUCGUAUUUAAAAUGAAAAAUGUUUACACAGUCUCGGAACCUAUAUCGAUUUCGAAUUCCGAUAGUCGGUAACGAUAACAUUACGUUCUUGAACAUUCCCUACAUCGUUCCAAUUUCGAAAGUUUGAAUAGCGUUCGAGAUCUUAAGCUUUGUCUACAAAUGAGUGAGCGAGAGUCCACCGAGGAUAAUAUUGGAACAUUGUAAGCAAUGAAACGGAUAAUUCUGUACGUUUUCGAAGUUUCGUAUAAACGGAAUACGAAAUCGACAUCACAAAGAAAAUGUACAUUCGAGAUGCUCUUGUAAUAUUUUCUAGCGUUCGUAUAUUUAUGAAUUAUUGCCUCAAUGUCUAGUAUCUGCUAGCUUGUAAAUAUCGUGAGUGUAUGACGUUUUACGAGUAUAUGGAAUUCUCGUCUGUUGUGAUUCUCGAAUAAAAGGAUUAAUAAUUCAUUUUCAACUUAAUGGGAAUAAUUUUAUUCUUUGAAAUUGAAAUUUAUUAAAUUACUCGUAAUUUAAAAAAAAAAACUGUCUCAGGACUAUAGUGGCGUGCCAUAUUCGCUUCGAGAUGACAAAUGAUCUUAUAUAGGUAGAAAAUUUUAAAUUUCUCGGCAUUUAAAUGUAUUAUAAUUGCACUUAUUGUAUAAAAUAGCGUGGAAAUAAAUAGAUAAUGCACAUAUUAAUUAUGAACUUUCUCGUGCCUAUACUUUUAUAUCUAUGUAUUUUUGAUAGUAAAUUUAAGAAUUCAACUUCGUGUUAUCGCCACAUCACGUGUAAAUAUAUCGAGCGUCUCUUAAAAUUUUUAUUACGUCUAUUAAAUAAGGAAAUACCUACAUUUAUAAAUCAAUUUAUCUGUACUUAUGAAACUUAAUAAAAAAAUACCGAAUAAAUAUAUAUUUCUUUAAAAAAAUAUUCUGUAUUUAACAAAGGUUUUGAAUAAAUUUAAAAGGUUUAACGUCUGUAGAUAUGUUGCACCCCUCAUUGCGGAAAUCGGUAAUACUCAUUAUAUUAUUAACGACUAGUCUAACAGUACAGUAAAAUACGAACGAAAUGUAUAUCAAACAACAUUUUAAUAUUAAUAUGUUUGACACCUUUUGAUGGUGCUAUAGAUACCAUAGCUAUAUCAAAUAUGGUGGUUAUGUGCAAUAAUAAUACUAAAUUCCUUAAAUAUUGGAACAAAUUAUUAUUACGACAUUGAAAUGUAUAUUAUUCUUCUUUGAUGGCUAAGUAUCAGAAGUACAGAUAAAGAAAAUUAAACUUUAAAAGCAAUAUCGAAUCGAGCACGCUUGCGCUCCAGGCUUAGGCCGAGGUAUGUGAAGUUCGCACAUUACGAAAACAGCACAAAGUGACGUUUUAUACAAACUUUAAUUAAUUUCUUUUGAAUUAUGUUCCAAUUCGUAUUUAUUAGAUUCUGUGUCGUGUAAAGCUCAAAUGUGUUAGUUGUGAUUUUUUUAAUGCAAUUUCGAUGUCGUGACUACAUUUUUAUAAACGCUUUUGCGCCUUUUUAAUCAAUUCUAUACGCGUAUUGUACGCACCAAUUUAUCGUAAGUAAGACAUUCCAUAUAUGUAUAUUCCACCUUGUUUCAUGUUUGUCUAGAUUAUAAUGACAAUUGUUUUAACCGCAGACCAGGAAUAUUACUUUCGCACAACUGUCAUAUGUCAAAAAUGACAAAAAUGUCAUAUAGGUAUAUAUAUGACAUUUUUGUAUACAACAAAUAAAAACUCAUCUUAAAAUCUUUCGAAUAUCUGUUUUCAUAAACGGCUGUUACAUUAUUUAAAUAAUUCGAACAGUUGUAAUACAGAUGAAAUUAAUUUCAGAUGUAUAUUACAAUUAAUAUUGAAAAGUAUACAAUUAUAUUAUAAUCGAGACAAAUAUUAAAUAAUUAUAUCAUCAUGUUUUAUAAUUUGAAUUAAAUAUAGUUUUUUAGUUAUUAAUCAUAAUAAUUAAACACGAAAUGAAUAAAAAUGUUUUUUGUUUUUUGCAUUAAUAAUGUCUAACGAAUGAUUCAUUAAAGUUUCUUAAUAAAAUUAUAAAUAUUUUUCGUGAAAAAUUUAAUGUGCAAUUCAUUAAUAUUUGUAACAAAUGGUUUUAUAAGAACAAAGUCGAAAAUCGAAGUCAAAUUCAUUACUUGUAAUGUAAAACAAUAAGUAUACAACCUCCUUUUUAACCAUGAAUAAAUAUUGUAUUCACAAUGCUUUAUCUCCUUCGAAUGUCAAAUUCCCUGUGACAGAAAGAGAAAAAUCAAUGUAAACUAUUCAACAGCAUCACAAAAUUUAUUAGUGAAACGCUAUAAAUACUUGUAAUGUACGAAUAUGUAACAUCAUCGUACAGUUAAUUUUUCUUUACAUUUUUCGAAAGAAUACGACAUCGAAUUUCGAAUUUGAACCUUAUUAACAGCCUCCGACUAAGAGCGCGGUGAUAAUAAAUCGUUGGUCUAGAUUUAAUAGAUUUAUCUACUUUUACAUAACACAGUAUAAAAUGCAUGUUAAAAUUAUAUUUAUAUCUUAAAAUGAAUAAACUUUUGUCCAUUUAAAAUAAAUAGUUAGAUAUUUUAAACAUUGUACCUACUUAAACUAUUAACUACGUAUUUCAUCUGUAAUAUCUAGAUCAAUAAUUUAUAAUAAUCAUUUAAUUUUAAAUAAAGUAAUUCUUUUAAUAAAAAUUGUAAUAGAAAAAUUAUUUCUUGUUAAAUAAUAAGAAUUUGUAAUGCUAUUUUAUUAUAAAUCUGAGAAAAAGUGCUUGCGAUCAAAGCCUUCAAUAAAAUAACAACCAAUAUAGGAAAAAUAACUGUGAAUCUAUAUUUAAUCAUUUAGACAAAAAAGGUUUUUUUUUUGUUUUGGCUUUUAUUUGUGCCAAGAGGGCACAGAUUAUUUCACCAAUGACACGUGCGGAUUAUGAUUAACGAAUCAAUGACAGAUUUGAGGUUUUGUACGUCAGAAUGUCAUUUCAAAAUGGUGACGUGCGUGUGUUUCUUUUAUUAUUAUUCUAAUUUCAAAAAGGAAUACACGACUUCUUCUAUUUAUAUACUACUGUUAAAUGUAUAACUAAGUCUUGCAAUAUUUAAUAAAACAAUGCAUCAGUUCGUUGAAAUAACUUUUUAAUGAUCAAGCACUUUUUCACAGAUCAUGUCCACACCAUUUCACGUUAGGCAAAUAUUUUUUUCACUGAAUUUAUUACACUUAUUACAAUAAAUUAAUAAUUAUAAA